rnacentral:rRNA from 1 species
UACGAAGGGUGCAAGCGUUAAUCGGAAUUACUGGGCGUAAAGCGCGCGUAGGUGGUUUGUUAAGUUGGAUGUGAAAUCCCCGGGCUCAACCUGGGAACUGCAUUCAAAACUGACAAGCUAGAGUAUGGUAGAGGGUGGUGGAAUUUCCUGUGUAGCGGUGAAAUGCGUAGAUAUAGGAAGGAACACCAGUGGCGAAGGCGACCACCUGGACUGAUACUGACACUGAGGUGCGAAAGCGUGGGGAGCAAACAGG